rnacentral:rRNA from 1 species
GCUUGUCUCAAAGAUUAAGCCAUGCAUGUCUUAGUGUAAAUAACUCUUAUGAAACUGCGAAUGGCUCAUUAAAUCAGUUAUCAAAUACGUGAUGGUCGCCUACUACAUGGAUAACCGUAGUAAUUCUAGAGCUAAUACAUGCACAAAAUCCCGACUUACGAAGGGAUGUAUUUAUUAGAUACAAACCAACAUCGUGGUGAUUCAUAAUAACUUUGCGAAUCGUAUGCCUCACGGCGACGAUGAAUCAUUCAAAUUUCUGCCCUAUCAGCUUUCGACGGUACUGUAGUGGACUACCGUGGCAUUAACGGGUGACGGAGAAUUAGGGUUCGAUUCCGGAGAGGGAGCCUGAGAAAUGGCUACCACAUCCAAGGAAGGCAGCAGG